rnacentral:rRNA from 1 species
GCUCCUACCGAUUUCGAGUGAUCCGGUGAACCUUUUGGACCGCGGGGUCUCGUGGCCUUGUGGAAAAUCAAGUAAACCAUAUCACUUAGAGGAAGGAGAAGUCGUAACAAGGUUUCCGUAGGUGAACCUGCGGAAGGAUCAUUA